UAAGACGUAGGGGGCGAGCGUUGUCCGGAGUGACUGGGCGUAAAGGGCGCGCAGGCGGCCAUGCGCGCCGCGCCGUGAAAGCCCCCGGCUCAACCGGGCGGAUGCGGGCGGGACGGCAUGGCUGGAGGGUGGCAGAGGCGGGCGGAAUUCCCGGUGUAGUGGUGAAAUGCGUAGAGAUCGGGAGGAACACCCGCGGCGCAGGCGGCCCGCUGGGCCACCGCUGACGCUGAGGCGCGAAGGCCCGGGGAGCGAACGGG
rnacentral:rRNA from 1 species